AUGAAGGUUUAUGCAGUGACCACCAUUGCUGUCCUCUCGAUGCAGCUCUCUUUCAUGGUUCAGGCUGGGGAUGGGAAAGGGUUGGUAGCUCCAGAGAAGCAAGUGGGGGCUGAGAGAGUGAGAAAAGCACCUCAGCCAUCAGAUGGAGGAAAGAAAGCACCAGAAGACAGCUCAGUGAGGUGUCAGCCUGCUGCCAGAGUGCAGAAGGCAGCAGGAGAAGCUGGAGUUGGAGCAAGGUCCCACAGCAAACUGCUGAGCAAGCCACAGCGAGAAAGCAGUAAACAGAAGGCCACUAGCAAGCAGCAGAGCCCCCAGCUGCAGCCCCCCAAGAGAAAGAGCCCAGGAUCCAGCAACCACUUGGAAGGCCACGGGAAAUUCAAUACUGACACUUAUUCCUGUCCUGGGAUUCAGUCUAAGACCUGCCAGAAACCCUCAGAUUGUGAUGGCUGCCUUGGCCUCUACACCUGCAAACUGCCUAGGGGGAAGUGUGGUUUGAAAGCUGUUUCCAGGAAGACAGGUACUGCACAACUCCCAUGUCAGCCAGCCCAAUUCAGCAAUGAAUGCGUCAGGGGUCCAUUACAGAUGGCCAGAUGGUAGGGGCUUUAUGUAUGUCACUUAAAAAACCCAACACCAAAAUGCCACACUGGACUUUUUCAAAACCUCUCUUUGUGUUGCACAUAACAACUCCUCCAAGCUUCAACAAGUGAGCUACAGGCAGGGAAGUAAUGGAGCACUAACUAGCCUCCGUUAACUCUGUAUUGAAGACAAGCCCUGAGUGAUUUAGGUUGCAAAGUUAAACACUGAAGUUAGAAAAUGCCAGAAUUAAGCUUGUGUGUGCAACUACCAUUAAGCCCCCUUGAGCAUAUGUGCACUAAGAUACAGCUUUUAAGUAGGAUCACAUACUAGUUUUUUCCUCAGGCUGACUGCUACAUUAGCUAACAUGAUUGUAAAUGUGUUACACUGCAUCUAGCUUAGCCUUAGCUGCUAAUUGGUGUUUCAAAUGGGGUUAGUUACCCUGAGGUAAAUAAAACAAAACCAAAAAAAGAAAAACUCCA
rnacentral:lncRNA from 1 species